UACGUAGGGUCCGAGCGUUGUCCGGAAUUACUGGGCGUAAAGAGCUCGUAGGUGGUUUGUCGCGUUGUUCGUGAAAACUCACAGCUCAACUGUGGGCGUGCGGUCGAUACGGGCAUCACUGGAGUUCGGCAGGGGAGACUGGAAUUCCUGGUGUAGCGGUGAAAUGCGCAGAUAUCAGGAGGAACAUCAGUGGCGAAGGCGGCCAUCUGGGGACAACACUGACGCUGAGGCACGAAAGCGUGGGGAGCAAACAGG
rnacentral:rRNA from 1 species